rnacentral:tRNA from 1 species
GCCUUGCUAGCUCAAUCGGUAGAGCGUGAGACUUUUAAUCUCAAGGUUGCGGGUUCGACCCCCGCGUGAGGCU